UACGGCCGUACCAUGUAUAUUCAUACCGGUUCUCGUUAGAUCACCGAAGUUAAGCAUCAUUGGGCGCGGUCAGUACUUGGGUGGGUGACCACCUGGGAACACUGCGUGCCGUU